rnacentral:rRNA from 1 species
CGUAGGUGGCAAGCGUUGUCCGGAAUUAUUGGGCGUAAAGCGCGCGCAGGCGGUCCUUUAAGUCUGAUGUGAAAGCCCACGGCUCAACCGUGGAGGGUCAUUGGAAACUGGGGGACUUGAGUACAGAAGAGAAGAGUGGAAUUCCACGUGUAGCGGUGAAAUGCGUAGAGAUGUGGAGGAACACCAGUGGCGAAGGCGACUCUUUGGUCUGUAACUGACGCUGAGGCGCGAAAGCGUGGGGAGCAAACAGGAUUAGAUACCCUGGUAGUCCACGCUGUAAACGAUGAGUGCUAAGUGUUAGAGGGUUUCCGCCCUUUAGUGCUGCAGCUAACGCAUUAAGCGCUCCGCCUGGGGAGUACGGCCGCAAGGCUG